rnacentral:ncRNA from 1 species
AUUCUCAGGGCGGGGUGCAAGUCCCCACCGGCGGUAAUCCUUGACGUUAAGGUAGCCCGCGGGCGCUUUAGGUACUCUUUGUACUUGAAGGACAAGCAGAUUUGGUGCGAUUCCAAAGCCGACAGUUAAAGUCUGGUUAUGAGAAUG